rnacentral:lncRNA from 1 species
GAUCCCUUGAACUCAUAAAUGCCCAACUAAUCCUGACAUUUUUUAAAGCCAUCAUUUCAACUCUCAGGAAAGGAAUCUGCAAAAUCCAAAAGUGAGGAAGUUCCUAAUGAUAGUUUCAAAACCCAAGACCCAUAAACAACUACUGGUUUAAGAGAAUAAUGGGAGCUACAAUGCUUCAAGAAACCCCCCCACCAACCCACGCUGAGCCUGAGAAAUCCUUUCAAUACAUUAGCUUACCCCGUCUUCAUAACUCAGUGACAGGUAUCAUCAUUGUUCCUAUUUUGCAAAUUUGUCUCCUUUCCCCUGUAAAGACUGGGUGGACUUUUUUAUUUUCUUCCCGGAAGAAGAAUUGCUGACUUUUUUUUUUAAGAGGGACUUUUUGCUGGGGUGGGGAGAACGAACUGAAACAGAAGACUUUGGUAAAGAAGUCACUUGAAAAAUGAUCCUAUUUCCUUUAGAGAUGCUCUCGUGAUAUAAUUAUGAGCCAUCUGUUAACCUCCUCUCCCCUUGCACGAUCUUUCUGGUUCUCAGCAGCUGAUGUCCCCAGGAGUAAACCGGCGAGGAUGGGGAGAUGAGGCUCUUUUGAUUGAGCACCGAGGAAUGGGGUAACUUGAACCACGCAAGUCGGAGCAAUUUAGAAAAGGUGUAGAAAAUCCAAGCAAGACAUAAAUACCAACAAAUGUUCUAGGGAUUAGCAGAUAAGUCGUAUCGGGAGAGAGCGAGAGAGUCA